rnacentral:rRNA from 1 species
UGUGCCAGCAGCCGCGGUAAUACGUAGGGUGCAAGCGUUAAUCGGAAUUACUGGGCGUAAAGCGUGCGCAGGCGGUUUGUUAAGACGGAUGUGAAAUCCCCGGGCUCAACCUGGGAACUGCAUUCGUGACUGGCAAGCUAGAGUAUGGCAGAGGGGGGUAGAAUUCCACGUGUAGCAGUGAAAUGCGUAGAGAUGUGGAGGAAUACCGAUGGCGAAGGCAGCCCCCUGGGCCAAUACUGACGCUCAUGCACGAAAGCGUGGGAGCAAACAGGAUUAGAUACCCUGGUAGUCCACGCCCUAAACGAUGUGUGCUGGAUGUUGGGGAACUUAGUUUCUCA